UGAGGAGGCGGUGACCGUGGCGGUGUAGGUGGAAGCGGCGGUGGAGGAGGUAGCCAACACUGUUUAUAUAUAUAUAUUUUUUUUAUUUUAAUUGGGGUAGCCCCCAAAAUAUUGGGACAUAUAAAAAAGACAACUCUGUUCCGCAGACUAGCUGUUGACAUUAUAGUUGCGCGGGCACUUUGUUGACUCUAGAGAAUCUCGGGCCAAAUCGCACAUCCCUGUGGCGGCGACUUUGCAUCUGGAUGUCAUCCAUAUAAACUUUGGAUUCCAGUUUCUGCACCUACCAUGGUGACCACGGGUAACGGGGAAUCAGGGUUCCAUUCCGUACAGGGACCCUGAGAAACGGCUACCACAUGCAAGGAAGGCAGCAGGUGCGGAAAUGACCCACUUCCGACGCGGGAAGGUAGUGACGACAAAUAACAAUACAAGACUCUUUAGAGGCCCUGUUAUUGUAAUGAGUCCACUUGAAAUCCUUUAACUCUGAUCAAUUGGAGUCUGGUGCAGAGCCACUGACACGUGCGUGCUGCAGCUGAAACUCCACUA